CUGGCAAUCUCACGACCUUCUGCCAUAUACACAAACCGUAGCACACUGAGCUAUCGACUAGUGUGACUCACAUACCCACGAGAUUGGUUGUAGGAUAGUGAAGGAUUAGUGAAUCACCGGGCAGUUUUCUCACAUAAAUAAAACAGAAGUCAUGAGUGUCACGUCAACAGAUUCGCUCAAGACCUGGGAAUCUGCUUUCAUUGCUUAUCUCCGAGAUUCAAAUUACCAGAACACACAUCUCAAGGAAAACAACAUCAAGAACAUCUACAAUCUGUUAUUUGUUUAUGAGUGCCGCGACAAAAAUAUGGGUGAGCCUCCCCAUAUAGAAGAGCUAAUUAUGUUUAUGAUAGAAAAUGGGAGUUUAUCACGUGACAAUGAUGUGUAUAGACUACGCUAAAAAAAACAUGGUGUAUGAACUAAUUCAUUGAAUUAAUUGUACUGGUGAGUCGUUUGUCAAUGUAUAUUAGACAAGAUUUUAGAAUCAUCUAAUUCUGAGUAUUUAUAUCCAAUGCGUCAUCCACGACCGUGUGGGUUGCUAGAUUGCUAUUAUAACCAUAUUUUUUUCUUCAGUAUCGCCGAGAGGGCCAUUAGGCUCUCAAUAUUUGUGGCUGUAUAUAUUAUAUUACUAGAUACUUGCCAGGGUCCGAACAAUUGACUAAAAUUAUUUGUCUAGCUUACUAACGAUCUGAAUAACUAAAUUACCAUUUUAAUUUCGUAAAAGCGGGCCCAGCAUUGUUUUUUCUUCUUUAAACUUAACAUCUUUAUAAUUUACGUGUAAAUAGUAAACUCAUUUGCUUGAUACAAGGGAAGUUGAAAUAUCUUUGUUUUAAGUAUUAGAUGAAAAGUUGGUAGAAAAAGAGACCUAAGCGAUAUCAUUAGUGAUUUCCGUAUUGGAAAGCACGUACUGCUAUCAUAUAUGAGUACUAGCAGAGUUCAUCUCAAACACCAUCAAGGCCCACGAAGUACGAACGAAAAUAUUUUCUUUGAGAAGGAAAGAUAUAUAGGCCCAACACUCUUGAAUUGCUCUCGAUUCCCCUAAGUUUCUGUAGUUGUUAAGCUUUGGAAUGCAUUGUCAGCACUGCUAAAUCAUAUAUACGAGACCUGUCAGUAGUAUGAUUUUUUUUCUUUUAUGUGAACUGCAGUCUUUAGUGUAGCAUUUACAAUUAAGAAAUAUCAAUAAAAAUAUUUUCAAAUAUCGUAUAUAGUGUUUUUAAUAAUUUUAUAUGUUUGUAUCCAUCUGAUCCCCCCCCCCACCAAGUACCCGUAAUUAUUUGAAAUAAACGCAUAGGACUCCCUGUUAAUUGACAAUAUUUUUAAACGUUUAAAUUUUGCCAUUUUACGUUCGGUACUUGUAAGAUCAUAUAAAUAAAUAUUAAUUAGC